GUCCAUAUACUCCCCUAGAGACGAAUUUGUGACUCUCAAAUAUUCACACAAAUUCGAUUCUACAGGGUACAUAUAGA
rnacentral:pre_miRNA from 13 species